rnacentral:rRNA from 1 species
GCCUACGGCCAUCCCACCCUGGUAACGCCCGAUCUCGUCUGAUCUCGGAAGCUAAGCAGGGUCGGGCCUGGUUAGUACUUGGAUGGGAGACCUCCUGGGAAUACCGGGUGCUGUAGGCUU